UCUUCAGUUCCUUGGUCCCAAAGGAAGUUCUCCAACGGCUAGUUGAUUCAAAAUAGACAGCUCAUGUUGAGUUGUUGAGUGGAUAAGCUCAAACUGAUCUUUCUCAGAACGUUCUCCCUGCUGUUCUUCAUAUUUUCACUUUAAAGGGCCAAAAUGACAGCUUGCAAUGGGCUGUAGAUAGUUGUUCAUUGCUUCCUCACCAAGUAUAUCUGUUAUAGAUCAUUUAGGCACGUUUUGGCCAGCUGUAGAUGAGCUUGCAACUUCAAAAGCAAAGGACAGUCAUUCUCAGCAUCAUUCUGAGAUCGUUCUCCAAUCUGGGCGAUUUUUUGCACUUGAUCUUCAAAUGGAGAAUGAUGCAGACCUGUGGCCAGCUGUAGUGUGAAGGGAAUGCAGCUGUGAUGUCCUUGCAUAACUAUUCACUUGUCCUUUCCAUGUACUUCCUUUUCUUGAUUAAAAAUUAAUCUCUUGGAGAAUGUUCAUUAAAUAAUGACAUUGAAGGUACAUGACAACUAUGAGUUGAAUGUGUGUUGUCUC
rnacentral:lncRNA from 1 species